rnacentral:rRNA from 1 species
AUUGAACGCUGGCGGCAUGCUUUACACAUGCAAGUCGAACGGCAGCGCGGGCUUCGGCCUGGCGGCGAGUGGCGAACGGGUGAGUAAUACAUCGGAACGUGCCCAGUAGUGGGGGAUAGCUCGGCGAAAGCCGGAUUAAUACCGCAUACGACCUGAGGGUGAAAGCGGGGGAUCUUCGGAACUCGCGCUAUUGGAGCGGCCGAUGGCCGAUUAGCUAGUUGGUGGGGUAAAGGCCUACCAAGGCGACGAUCUGUAGCUGGUCUGAGAGGACGACCAGCCACACGGGGACUGAGACACGGCCCAGACUCCUACGGGAGGCAGCAGUCGGGAAUGUUGGACAAUGGGCGAAAGCCUGAUCCAGCAAUGCCGCGUGUGUGAUGAAGGCCUUCGGGUUGUAAAACACUUUUGGCGGGAACGAAAAGGACUGUGCCAAUACCACGGUUCGAUGACGGUACCCGCAGAAUAAGCACCGGCUAACUACGUG